rnacentral:ribozyme from 14 species
AAAAAAAAAACGCUUCAAUUCCACUUUGGAAAAAAAAAGUUUGGUGUAAUUUUUCUUUUUUUUUUAAUUUCCCUUUCUCUCGCUUUACAAUUAUGAGUUUUUUCUCUCUUUCCAACGUGUGUGCGAGAAUAUAUACAUGUCGAAAAAAAAGAUGCUGCCGAACAAAAAAAGAAUGAAACAAUAAAGUAAAAAGCAUUCUGCUAUAUAUAUAUUUAUACAUAAAUUCAUUGUCACAUUGGAAACUAAAAAGGAAUGAAAAAAAAAAAAUGAAAAAAAAAGAAAUAACAAU